UUAUUCAUGUCUACUAUCCAAUGUGAUUCAUUUCCUUAUAUGAUUACCUUGAAUGUGAUUUGGAAUGACUUCCUAAAUCUCAUUCAUACUCUGGCCACAGAUUCUUAAUCAUAUCAUAGAGUAUUCUCCGUCAAACAGUUUGAAGGUUAGAGAUCCCUUGCUGCGCAUUCACUUGCCUCCAUGGCUAAGUGGCUUAACCCUAACUAUGUCGUGGACACCCUCGGAUGGAGUGACUUUGACAUAGUCAAAGAUCAAGGACCUAACCACAGGACAACUAUGAUGCCUCAGGUCAAAAGACUACUUUGCAUUAUCCCAACCAUAAGUUCUCAUGUGACAUGAGUAUGAGAACUCCUUGUUGAUCGCGUUUAGUGAACUCAUACUCUAUUGAGCACCUACGUACUUGUCUUAGUGUCAGUCACACCAAUGACUCGAGACCAGUCACUCUCCCUAAGAGAAGACAUAGCAUGUACUGAUCUUAACGGACUGUCAAUGCCCAAUUGACAAUCCUAUGAUCAGGAACGUUUAUGAUAUGUAUACGAAAAAGAAUGGUCUUAUGAAUCUAAAUUCUUUAGAUCGCAUUCUCCCAAUUACAUAUUCCUUGGACUUAUCGUUUAAGCGUAUAACAUUUAUAUGAAACGACUUCAAACAAUAAUCUUUGCCCUUUAAAUUAAACUAUAUUAGUUUAACAUGUGAAAUGUCCGUAAAGUAUCAUCAUAUGAUUGGUUUUAGGGCACAUUUCCAAUAAUCUCCCACUUGCACUAGAGCCAAUCAGCUUGGUCAUCAAUGAUGAUACCUCUUCUGUAGUCAUUUCAAAAAUGACUGAGUAGUAGGCCUAGACAAUGGAUAUCUAUAUGUUAUCCAUAGAAACAACCUUGAGAAUAACGACGUCACCAUUAUACAUGAUUCUUAAUCAUGUGGUUUAGUCUCUCAUUUGCGUUCGGAUCAUGAUGAGACCUUGAUUCCCUGGCUUGAGCUAUCGCCCCAUUAGUGUCGUAGUGUCAGUACACUAGAGACACUUUCUGGUUGGAACCGAAUAGAAAGUUCAUGAAUGAACUUUCUCAUCCAAACAACAUUGUUGUAAGCUUCUAUAUGGCAAUAUAUUUUGCAUUCACAAUGGAACACACUAAAGUCAUUACUUUUAAUGUUUCCAUCCAAAUAUCUUUUUAGUCAUAAUAAAGAGAUAUAUGAUUAUCUCUUUAUUCAUAAUGAAGAAACAUCCAAUGAUGGAUUAGAUUCAUAAUCUAAUACAUUUACGCUUCCAUUACGUUACUCUAAUUCUUCCUCAUUAUUGAGGAAUCCAUCCUUUAUUAUUUCUCAAAUACUUAAAGAUUCACUUGACAGUUGCCAUGGUUCUGAUCCUGAGCUUGCAUUGAUAUCGUCUUGUACCGAUCAUGGUACAACUCAUAUCAACAUUUUUCAUACAAUAUGAAAUACAUAAAUCACAUUUAUGCGUAUACAUAAAGGAUUAUAUUUACGCAUUAUGUUUCUUUAGGAGUCAAAAGGGUAUGUUCCCUUUGAGAAGAGUUACCUCCUAGUCUCACUAGAGUUGUUCUUCUGAUUGAAGUUUAUCAUCAUAUGAGAAACUUCCUAGCAUCUUUUGUCUAUCAUUAGGGUUUGAUAUAAUCCAAUUAUAUCCUGAAAUCUAUCAUUAUAGAUUUCGAUCCCAUGUUUAUAGACUAUGUCUUACAUAUACAUUCUAUCGAUAUAGAAUGUUUAAAAUCAUAACUUUAACGAAGAAGUAUUCUUUUCAUUUCCAAAAUUAAUAUAUCAUAUAUAUAUAUAUAUAUAUGGGUAAAAGACUGUUUACUACCCUCAUGUUUUGUGGUUUUCAACAUUUAAUACAUCAAGUUUUUUUCGUCUCAGAUUCAUACCUAAAGUGUAAAUUUUGGGACAGUCUCAUACAUCCGUUAGUCAAACUGUUAAAUCUGCCGUUAAUUGUGACGUGGCUCC
rnacentral:lncRNA from 1 species